UACGAAGGUCCCAAGCGUUGUUCGGAAUCACUGGGCGUAAAGGGAGCGUAGGCGGCGUGGUAAGUCAGAUGUGAAAUCCCGGGGCUCAACCCCGGAACUGCAUCCGAUACUGCCGUGCUUGAGGGUUGGAGAGGUAGCUGGAAUUCUCGGUGUAGCAGUGAAAUGCGUGGAUAUCGAGAGGAACACUCGUGGCGAAGGCGAGCUACUGGACAACAUCUGACGCUGAGGCUCGAAGGCCAGGGGAGCAAAAGGG
rnacentral:rRNA from 1 species